GCCUCAGUAGUUCAGUCGGUUGAGCGUCUGUCUUCCGCUCAGGUCAUGAUCUCACAGUUUGUGAGUUCGAGCCCCACCUCGAGCU
rnacentral:tRNA from 1 species